CAGCAGCCGCGGUAAUACCGGCGGCCCGAGUGGUGGCCGCUAUUAUUGGGCCUAAAGCGUCCGUAGCCGGGCUGGUAAGUCCUCCGGGAAAUCUGGUCGCUUAACGAUCAGACUUCCGGAGGAUACUGCUGGCCUAGGGACCGGGAGAGGCCGAGGGUAUUCCCGGGGUAGGGGUGAAAUCCUGUAAUCCCGGGAGGACCACCUGUGGCGAAGGCGCUCGGCUGGAACGGGUCCGACGGUGAGGGACGAAGGCCAGGGGAGCGAACCGGAUUAGAUACCCGGGUAGUCCUGGCUGUAAACGAUGCGGACUAGGUGUCGGGCAAGCUAAGGGCUUGUCCGGUGCCGCAGGGAAGCCGUUAAGUCCGCCGCCUGGGGAGUACGGCCGCAAGGCUGAAAUUUAAAGGAAUUGGCGGG
rnacentral:rRNA from 1 species